ACGGGGAGCAGCAGGCGCGAAACCUUUACACUGCACGGAAGUGCGAUAAGGGGACCCCAAGUGCGAGGGCAUACAGUCCUCGCUUUUCUGGACCGUAAGGAGGUUCAGGAACAAGAGCUGGGCAAGACCGGUGCCAGCCGCCGCGGUAAUACCGGCAGCUCGAGUGAUGGCCGCUAUUAUUGGGCCUAAAGCGUCCGUAGCCGGCCGGACAAGUCCGUCGGGAAAUCCACGUGCUUAACGCGUGGGCGUCCGGCGGAAACUGUUCGGCUUGGGGCCGGAAGACCCGAGGGGUACGUCUGGGGUAGGAGUGAAAUCCUGUAAUCCUGGACGGACCGCCGGUGGCGAAAGCGCCUCGGGAAGACGGACCCGACGGUGAGGGACGAAAGCUAGGGCCUCGAACCGGAUUAGAUACCCGGGUAGUCCUAGCCGUAAACGAUGCCCGCUAGGUGUGGCACUGGCUACGAGCCGGUGCUGUGCCGUAGUGAAGACGUGAAGCGGGCCGCCUGGGAAGUACGUCUGCAAGGAUGAAACUCAAAGGAAUUGACGG
rnacentral:rRNA from 1 species